AAAAUGCACUGGAGACACGGAAU
rnacentral:piRNA from 1 species